rnacentral:rRNA from 1 species
GUUGUUUUCUCGAAAAUCAAUUUAAUGAGUUCUUGUUUUUAAGUUAUUGUGACUUUAUCAGCGCAUUUCUUAUUUUACUUGACUCAUUGAAUGCACUUUUCGUUUAACAAGUCAACAUCAAUUUCUUUGGUGGUAAAAAGUUUAAAGGAAGGUGGCUUGGACUUCGGUUCAAGUGUUUAUAGCCUUUUUUCUAUGCCAUCGGAGAGAUUGAGGUCUGCAGCGUAGAUCCUUCGGGGUUAGAUACCUUUGUGCUAAGUUAUAGUUUUUUAUAGACAACUUGUUGACUAUAAUUAACCCUGUAAUUUACUCGCUUAGGCUAUUUUACCUAC